AUACGGAGGGUGCGAGCGUUAAUCGGAAUUACUGGGCGUAAAGGGCGCGCAGGCGGUUUGAUUAGUCAGAUGUGAAAGCCCACGGCUUAACCGUGGAAGUGCAUUUGAAACUGUCAGACUUGAGUAUCAGAGGGGAAAGUGGAAUUCCCGGUGUAGAGGUGAAAUUCGUAGAUAUCGGGAGGAAUACCGGUGGCGAAGGCGACUUUCUGGCUGAAUACUGACGCUGAGGCGCGAAAGCGUGGGGAGCAAACAGGAUUAGAUACCCUAGUAGUCC
rnacentral:rRNA from 1 species